AUUGAACGCUGGCGGCAGGCUUAACACAUGCAAGUCGAGCGGGGGAAGGUAGCUUGCUACUGGACCUAGCGGCGGACGGGUGAGUAAUGCUUAGGAAUCUGCCUAUUAGUGGGGGACAACAUCUCGAAAGGGAUGCUAAUACCGCAUACGUCCUACGGGAGAAAGCAGGGGAUCUUCGGACCUUGCGCUAAUAGAUGAGCCUAAGUCGGAUCAGCUAGUUGGUGGGGUAAAGGCCUACCAAGGCGACGAUCUGUAGCGGGUCUGAGAGGACGACCCGCCACACUGGGGCUGAGACACGGCCCAGGCGCCUACGGGGGGCAGCAGUGGGGAAUAUUGGACAAUGGGGGGAACCCUGAUCCAGCCAUGCCGCGUGUGUGAAGAAGGCCUUAUGGUUGUAAAGCACUUUAAGCGAGGAGGAGGCUACUUUAGUUAAUACCUAGAGAUAGUGGACGUUACUCGCAGAAUAAGCACCGGCUAACUCUGUGCCAGCAGCCGCAGUAA
rnacentral:rRNA from 1 species